CGCCCAUAUUUUCCUUUCAUAUUCUCUUGGAAAGAAAAGAAGAGGAGAGGAAGGGAAAAAAAAACGAUUUUUUCUGUAAGAAAUUUCAGAUGAUGAUGCUUUUGCAAGAAGAGAACUACAAGGUCUGUUCAGACACGUUUUAGCGACAAAUCAGUUGGUCAGACAUGAAGAGCGUGAACAUUAAUAAUACUUGAGUUGUAGAAAAAAUCCGUGCAUAGUAAAAACUUCAACAGGACAAUUGUUGGGGGUAGCCCAAGGAAAGGACGACACGAGUAAACCAGCUUUGGAUAAGGAAGGAUCAGCCAUUGGGUUCAAGAAAACUUUUCGUUUUCAUGAAGAAAGUACUACUGGUGUGUACUGGAUUAUGAAAGAAUACAGCCUUAACGAAACCAUAAUGGAGGGGUUAAGACAACAUGGAGAAAUCCGACAUGAAGACUCUAUCAUUACGAGGAAGGUUAGUUUGUGUAAAAAUUCUCAGGAUGUCCCCUCGGGAAUCAAGAAUGUAGCUGCCAAUCCAUGGCCGCUAUAUCCCGCUUUAACUGCACUUCCACCAUUUACUGGACCUUUUGAGUCCUUAACUGAAGAAGAAUUGGCCUUCUUUGAUAAGCCUGAUCUUGGAUAUCCACAAGCAUACAAGAACAAGAAAGAAUGAUAAGAGUAGAAAGUAUGAACCAUGUAGUAUAUAGCACAUUCAACUACCUAGUGGUUAUAGUUAGA